GACGAACGCUGGCGGCGUGCUUAACACAUGCAAGUCGAACGGAAAGGCCAGUGCUUGCACUGGUACUCGAGUGGCGAACGGGUGAGUAACACGUGGGUGAUCUGCCUUGCACUCUGGGAUAAGCUUGGGAAACUGGGUCUAAUACCGGAUAUGAACUGCCUUUAGUGUGGUGGUUGGAAAGUUUUUUCGGUGCAAGAUGAGCUCGCGGCCUAUCAGCUUGUUGGUGGGGUAAUGGCCUACCAAGGCGUCGACGGGUAGCCGGCCUGAGAGGGUGUACGGCCACAUUGGGACUGAGACACGGCCCAGACUCCUACGGGAGGCAGCAGUGGGGAAUAUUGCACAAUGGGCGGAAGCCUGAUGCAGCGACGCCGCGUGGGGGAUGACGGCCUUCGGGUUGUAAACUCCUUUCGACAGGGACGAAGCGUAAGUGACGGUACCUGUAUAAGAAGCACCGGCUAACUACGUG
rnacentral:rRNA from 1 species